rnacentral:rRNA from 1 species
GACGAACGCUGGCGGCGUGCUUAACACAUGCAAGUCGAACGGAAAGGCCCUGCUUUUGUGGGGUGCUCGAGUGGCGAACGGGUGAGUAACACGUGAGUAACCUGCCCUUGACUUUGGGAUAACUUCAGGAAACUGGGGCUAAUACCGGAUAGGAGCUCCUGCUGCAUGGUGGGGGUUGGAAAGUUUCGGCGGUUGGGGAUGGACUCGCGGCUUAUCAGCUUGUUGGUGGGGUAGUGGCUUACCAAGGCUUUGACGGGUAGCCGGCCUGAGAGGGUGACCGGCCACAUUGGGACUGAGAUAAGGCCCAGACCCCUACGGGAGGCAGCAGUGGGGAAUAUUGCACAAUGGGCGGAAGCCUGAUGCAGCAACGCCGCGUGCGGGAUGACGGCCUUCGGGUUGUAAACCGCUUUCGCCUGUGACGAAGCGUGAGUGACGGUAAUGGGUAAAGAAGCACCGGCUAACUACGUG